GUAGGCUGAGCUGCCUGGUUGAUCCGUCCAGGGGGACGGGUGUCAGACCGGUGCAGGUGUCAGUGGCUGCUGGUGAGUGAUUGCGCCAUCAGCCUCCCACUGUGAUCUAUCAUGCGGGCCAGGCCAGUGAAGAAUCACAGCUACAGGAAGGUGCUGAGCCCAGCAACAUAUCAUUAAACAAGGUUACAAGGAGCAGAUUUGUUCCUAUGAUCAAUCUGGUCAACAGUGGUUCCACUUUACUGUUUUUCAGCAAAGCGUAAACAGUUCUGCAUAAUAAGUUGGGUACGUAGCUUUAUUUUGUGGCCAAUGAAAAUGCUGGUAAAAAGCAAUGAGAACUGAAGUAUAAUGGAUUCUUGAACUCAAGGAAGAUAUAACUCCAGGCUGCCAUUACACUGAACGGAGAUGGCUGAUGCAGCAUCUGUAGCACAUCAUUGCAUUGCACUUUUUAAGCUACUUUGAAAUUACAUUCAGAAAGACAUCAGCCCAUGGUUAGAUCAUCGCUGUGAGCACUUCCAGUCGAUUAGUGACCACUUGGAAAUUGGCUCAGACAUUCUUGAACACAACUCACCUUUGUGCAUCUGAUGUUUGCCCUGUGUCAGAUACAAAACCAAUGAUGUCAUAGGUCAUGCAGCAAACGUUUUCCAUAAUACCAGAAGAAAUGAGACCUUUGGGGUGGUCUUUGCUGUUUACAGAAAUGAGACGAACAUCAUGUGCGAUUCAGGAAUAAAUGACAAUUAAAGAAUCUGGGUUGUCACUUUGAUGUCCUGCAUACAGCAUCUUCCAGCCUAAUUUUUCAAAGAUUUCAAGGAAUAUGCCCAGCUUUUGAUGAUGAGACAAGCAUGCCAUCACAGGAAUUAGACUGGAAGAUCUCUUUCUUCUCUGUAUUAUGUUUCUGUCACCGUACUGUGGCUGCUCCAAUGACAAAUCUGUAAAUGCUGACUUACUUCCCAGUAGUCAUGGCAAUCAUGGGCAACUGGGCACUUGCCUAUGAUCCCAAUGAGAACCUCCUGUCAUGUGUUUUAAUGUAGGAAUUUGUAUUUAAAAUCCCCCACAAUUUUACAAAGCUUUCAAAGGAUGGAGUAGAAAUUGGAACUAGAAGGAUGUGCUUCAUACAUCAAAAGAAGGUGAACUUUAUUUUCUGUUUACCUUCAUUCAUGAACAAAAUUGAUCAUUAUUUCUGAAUCUGUGUAAAAAAAAACUGCAUGAUCUUUCCACUUCAAAUUCCAUUGAGAAUUCUCUUCUUUUGUCUAUUUCAGUUUUAAGUACUGCCAUACAUUUAUAGUUCCAUAAGCUGUAUCAUGUAUUUUCAACAUGACAGUGACCUUUAUUCCAGGUGGCCCCUUUGUAAGGUCCAUUUACAUCGAUGGGUGAAAUAUUUCAAGACUAAGUUUCGAGACCAAUUUAGAUAGAAGACGUUCUACCAGCAUCUUAGCUUUAUGUUAUUUGACAGAUACUAUGACAAUAUAUGCCAAAGGAAAGUGAGAAAAACAAAGCCAUAAAAAGUUUUCCAGAGAUUAGCCAAAAGCGUGCAUAAAUCAACAUGCCAGAUUUCUUUACAGCCAAAUACUGAUCUACCAAACUUGAAAACUGACUGGGAAAAAAAAAUAAUGGAAUAGGUUGUCAGUUCUGAUUUAAGCAAAUAUGGACAAUUUCAUAGACGAGCUUUCUGGCCUGAAGCAGUCAGACAUGCAGAUAGACAUUCGAUGUCAAUUGCAUGUCCUUGAAGAGAUCAGGUAUAACGAAUGGCUGGGAAUUGCCACUACCAGUGCAUUCAGUGAGAAAAAAAUAUUCAGCUCAGUUCAGGGACAUGCGUAAGUAAUGUGUUACCGUCUCUGCUCCCUCUUCAGCUCCUUGACAAAAUGUUAAUCUAAUUGUGAUACUAUCACUUUGAUGACAAUAUGACAAGACAGACAAAUUUGAUUUUAUUCUCAACAGAGCCAGCAUAUGCUGUGUGUGAGACUUUGACAGAGAGAAGGGCACAAAACAAAUGAAGCUCAUGAAUAUACAAUUUUUAUUGUACACAAUAGUGACAUAUAAACUUCUGAGAGAAGGUGGGAUAGAAUCAUUGUACUUUACAAUUUCGGUUAAUGGUUUUGCAAAAAAAAGUCAUUGGAGAAUAGGAAGGCCUAAUACAUCUAGGUACAGAAGAACAAUUUUGCCACAAGAUAAAUGGGGGUCAGAAACUAUGAAUAUAUUAACAAUUUUUUUGUUUCUGAUAGGAUUUAUGGUAAAGGCUUAUAAAACUAUUUUCCUUGCAUCUGCUAAAAACAAAAUACUUAACCUUAAAAAAACAUGUGAAUUACAUGAAUUUACAAUAUGUCCCUCUACAGAUUUACUUAUUUUGAAGUUUGUAUCUUUCUGGAAAAGGUCUAAACAAUCAGAGAAUUAAUAGCUAUCAUUUUCUUUAAUUAUUUCUGAUCUGUAUAAUUCUCAACAUAUUUGUUAAAUAAUUAGCAUAUGAAAAGGCAUUUUUCAGAACUGAUGAAACAAUGGUUUGUAACUAUUGAU